UACCUCAGUGAAGAGGAAGGUGGUGGAUGGAGAACAAAAGACUUCUUCUGUGCCAAUAGAAGAGUAACAACUGAACGACGUGGCAAGGGAAGAUCAUUGAUGAAGUAAAUAAAUUAAUAUAAGAGACUAAAAUUAGUACUUUCACUCUUGAGCAGACUAUUAGAAUUAACUUCUUUUACCUUGUUGUAUAUAUGGUGAAGUAACAUAUUUAACCUUAUUAUGUAAUAUGUAAAACAAUGAACGACAUAAACCAUUUAUCA